rnacentral:rRNA from 1 species
UUUAGUAAAUUUCAAUAUGUUUUUUGAAAUUGAAGAUUAGAGAUCUACCUCUAAAACUAAAAAAAUUUAAAUCCUAUAGUGAACUAGUACUGCGAAGGAAAGGUGAAAAGAUUUUUAAAUAUUUUAAAAGAUUCUGAAAUUUAAUGCUAUACACAGUUAAAGUAAUGUAUUUUAACGUACCUUUUGCAUAAUGGGCUAGCAAGUUUAUAUAAUUAGCGAGUAAUUUAUUAAAAUAAAAAUACGAAUUGAAAAAAAAAUAGUUAAUUAUAUAAGACCCGAAGCUAAGUGAUCUAAUUAUGAUUAGGUUAAGGGUAAUAUUUACCUAAGGACCGAACUCUUAAAUGUUGCAAAAUUUUGGGAUAAAUUGUAAUUAGGGGUGAAAGGCUUAUCAAACUUAGUUAUAGCUGGUUUUCCACGAAACCUAUUUAAGUAGGGUGAUAUUUUUAUUUUAAACAGGUUUAAAUAACUAUAUUAAUAGCUAAUUUGUUAAUUAUAAAAUUAGGAUAUAAUAAUUGUUUAAAUAUUAAAUAUUAAUCAGACUAUUAGCGCUAAGGUUAAUAGUCAAGAGAGAAACAGCUCAGAUUAAACAAUAAGGUCUACAAAAGUAAAUAAAUACCGAGAUUAUUUUUAAUAAGACCUAUAAGAUGUAGGCUUGGAAGCAGCCUUCAUUUUAAGAAAGCGUAAAAGCUCAAUAUAGAGAAUAUUAUUGUUUUUAAAUAAUUGAUGUAAAAAUAAUCGUAAAUGGAUAGAAUAAUUUUUACUUACCGAAUUGAUAAAUCGAAAGAUGGUAGUGGAACAUUUUGUAUAAAUAAAUAAAAUUGUGAAGUUUUAUAUUUUAUCAAUAAAGAUAAUGCUAGCAUGAGUAGUAGACAUAAUGUGAGAAUCAUUAUCGCUUAAUGUACAAGGGUUACUAAAUUUGAUAAUCUUAUUUAGUGUAAGUCGAUUUCUGUGAUUUAAAUGUUUAAUUUUAUCUAUGAAUAUAAAAUAUAAAAUACAUAAUAAUUUAUUUUAUAUACUAUAUUAAAUUUA